CUGUGUGCAAACAAAUACAGCAACACCACAACAUAUUGUUUAAUAUCCCUGACUGUACACUUUAAACAACGAGAGCAGACGGUGAGAGUGCGAUUGUUAGGACCUGAGCCCUAGGACCAUGCCUCAGGACUACCUGGCUUGAUGACUCCUUGCUGUCCCCAGUUUACCUGGCCGUGCUGCUGCUCCAGUUCCAACUGUUCUGCCUGCAGCUAUGGAACCCUGACCUGUUCACCGGACGUGCUACCUGUCCCAGACCUGUUGUCCCAGACCUGCUGGAACCCUGAACUAUUCACCGGACGUGCUACCUGUCCCAGACCUGCUGUUUUCAACUCUCUAGAGACAGCAGGAACGGUAGAGAUACUCUCAAAGAUCGGCUAUGAAAAAGCCAACUGACACUUACUCUUGUGUUACUGACUUGUUGCACCCUCGACAACUACUAUGAUUAUUAUUAUUUGACAAUGCUGGUCAUUUAUGAACAUUUGAACAUCUAGGCCAUGUGCUGUUAUAAUCUCCACCCGGCACACCCAGAAGAGGACUGGCCACCCCUCAUAGCCUGGUUCCUCUCUAGGUUUCUUCCUAGGUUUUGGCCUUUCUAGGGAGUUUUUCCUAGCCACCGUGCUUCUACACCUGCAUUGCUUGCUGUUUGGGGUUUUAGGCUGGGUUUCGGUACAGCACUUUGAGAUAUCAGCUGAUGUAAGAAGGGCUAUAUAAAUACAUUUGAUUUGAUUUGAUUUGUAGUGAACAGGCGCACUUUUUAUUCCGGUCAAAAUGACAGCACAAAGAUGUGCCCAAACACGGAACAUAGACAAAAAGUAAUGCUCGUAACAAUAUCCACAAUAUCAAAAUACACGUAACACAAACAAUCCUACACAAAGACAUGAUGGGGAACAGAGGAAUAAAUACAUAUGAAUUGAUUGGGGAAUGAAAACCAGCUGUGCAGGGAACAAGACAAAACAAAUGGAUACAUGAAAAAUGGAGCGGCGAUGGCUAGAAAGUCGGUGACGUCGACACCGAACGCCGCCCGAACAAGGAGAGGAGCCGACU
rnacentral:lncRNA from 1 species